AGGGAAUAUUGGACAAUGGGGGCAACCCUGAUCCAGCCAUGCCGCGUGAGUGAAGAAGGCCCUCGGGUUGUAAAGCUCUUUUGUCCGGAAAGAAAAGCUUCGGGUUAAUACCCCGGGGUUCUGACGGUACCGGAAGAAUAAGCACCGGCUAACUUCGUGCCAGCAGCCGCGGUAAUACGUAGGGUGCGAGCGUUAAUCGGAAUUACUGGGCGUAAAGCGUGCGCAGGCGGUUAUGUAAGACAGAUGUGAAAUCCCCGGGCUCAACCUGGGAACUGCAUUUGUGACUGCAUGGCUAGAGUACGGUAGAGGGGGAUGGAAUUCCGCGUGUAGCAGUGAAAUGCGUAGAUAUGCGGAGGAACACCGAUGGCGAAGGCAAUCCCCUGGACCUGUACUGACGCUCAUGCACGAAAGCGUGGGGAGCAAACA
rnacentral:rRNA from 1 species